AAAGAUGUUAAUGGAGUCAUCCAUUAAAUGCAGCAGCUGCCAGAGCCUUAGGCUAACUGGGCAGAGGGCCUGAACCCAUUUACUCAAAAACACAGCCCCCUCCACAUAAUCUCAGGUUUUUAUCUUUUCAUUUCCACGUUGUGCUUCAGCCAGGUCAUUCAGUGGCAACUCCCUGAGAAUCUCACGCUUGCUUAGAGUCUGCCUAUCUGCCAGCCACAAAGACAGCACAUGGAGAGACGGGAGGAGGCUGGUAGGCAGUGUCUAUCUGCAAGUACCUCCCAAAGGCCCAUCAGGUGCAGCUUUUUGCUCCAGGAAAAUCAGGCUGGGACUGUUCACAAGUCUCAGUCCUUGGGACAUAGGUGAAAACAACCUCCCAUCAUGGCUCAUACGUCAGCAAAGUUCUCUGCAGACAAGACAACAGUUACAGCAACAGGCAUAAUCAAUUUUUAUUCAUUGCCUGUCCCUUCUGGCCCCAGAGCUGGGUCCAGCAUCAUCCUGCACGAUGCCCAGGUGGGCACACAGACACACAGAGAAGG